GCCGCCUCCGUCGCGGCCGAGAAGGCGGCCGCUGCCUCCGCUGCUGCAGAGAGGCUGCGCGCCUCUUCCCUGCGCCGUCGUCCCCCUCCACCCGUGAAGCCGUCGCCCAUUACAGAGGAGAGGAAGAUUAAAAUGAAGAAAUCGAUGGAGUGCGCCAUUGAGAGGUUCCAAUUCUUUGCCAAAGAGUUGCAUGACACGGCCAACUACAACUACUAUGAGCAUCAUGAGAUGGUUGAAGGAUGGAGGAUUUCGGAUUUUGCUACCAUCGGGUUAUGGCAAUGAACAAUAUUCUAUUUGUGUGACUCUCCUAUUUGUGUUAUGGCAAUGAACAAUAUUCGUGUUAUAUCAAUAUAGUACCUUCAUGCA